GACGAACGCUGGCGGCGUGCUUAACACAUGCAAGUCGAACGGAAAGGCCCUGCUUUUGUGGGGUGAUCGAGUGGCGAACGGGUGAGUAACACGUGAGUAACCUGCCCUUGACUUUGGGAUAACUUCAGGAAACUGGGGCUAAUACCGGAUAGGAGCUCCUGCUGCAUGGUGGGGGUUGGAAAGUUUCGGCGGUUGGGGAUGGACUCGCGGCUUAUCAGCUUGUUGGUGGGGUAGUGGCUUACCAAGGCUUUGACGGGUAGCCGGCCUGAGAGGGUGAACGGCCACAUGGGGACUGAGAUACGGCCCAGACGCCUACGGGAGGCAGUAGUGGGGAAUAUUGCACAAUGGGCGGAAGCCUGAUGCAGCAACGCCGCGUGCGGGAUGACGGCCUGCGGGUUGUAAACCGCUUUCGCCUGUGACGAAGCGUGAGUGACGGUAAUGGGUAAAGAAGCACCGGCUAACUACGUG
rnacentral:rRNA from 1 species